rfam:Salmo salar isolate Sally breed double haploid chromosome ssa12, whole genome shotgun sequence.
UGCAUUCACUACUGUAAGUCUCUCUGGAUAAGAGCGUCUGCUAAAUGACUAAAA